rnacentral:rRNA from 1 species
UACGUAGGGAGCAAGCGUUGUCCGGAAUCAUUGGGCGUAAAGCGCGCGUAGGCGGCCCGAUAAGUCCGCUGUAAAAGUCAACGGCUACACUGAUUGAAGCGGUGAUACGUGUCGGCUAGAGUCCGGAAGAGGCGAGUGGAAUUCCCGGUGUAGCGGUGAAAUGCGCAGAUAUCGGGAGGAACACCUAUUGCGAAGGCAGCUCGCUGGGACGUUACUGACGCUGAGACGCGAAAGCGUGGGGAGCAAACAGG